rnacentral:rRNA from 1 species
AGUCGAGCGGUAGCACAGAGAGCUUGCUCUCGGGUGACGAGCGGCGGACGGGUGAGUAAUGUCUGGGAAACUGCCUGAUGGAGGGGGAUAACUACUGGAAACGGUAGCUAAUACCGCAUAACGUCGCAAGACCAAAGUGGGGGACCUUCGGGCCUCAUGCCAUCAGAUGUGCCCAGAUGGGAUUAGCUAGUAGGUGGGGUAAUGGCUCACCUAGGCGACGAUCCCUAGCUGGUCUGAGAGGAUGACCAGCCACACUGGAACUGAGACACGGUCCAGACUCCUACGGGAGGCAGCAGUGGGGAAUAUUGCACAAUGGGCGCAAGCCUGAUGCAGCCAUGCCGCGUGUAUGAAGAAGGCCUUCGGGUUGUAAAGUACUUUCAGCGAGGAGGAAGGCAUUAAGGUUAAUAACCUUGGUGAUUGACGUUACUCGCAGAAGAAGCACCGGCUAACUCCGUGCCAGCAGCCCGCGGUAAUACGGAGGGUGCAAGCGUUAAUCGGAAUUACUGGGCGUAAAGCGCACGCAGGCGGUCUGUCAAGUCGGAUGUGAAAUCCCCGGGCUCAACCUGGGAACUGCAUUCGAAACUGGCAGGCUAGAGUCUUGUAGAGGGGGGUAGAAUUCCAGGUGUAGCGGUGAAAUGCGUAGAGAUCUGGAGGAAUACCGGUGGCGAAGGCGGCCCCCUGGACAAAGACUGACGCUCAGGUGCGAAAGCGUGGGGAGCAAACAGGAUUAGAUACCCUGGUAGUCCACGCCGUAAACGAUGUCGACUUGGAGGUUGUGCCCUUGAGGCGUGGCUUCCGGAGCUAACGCGUUAAGUCGACCGCCUGGGGAGUACGGCCGCAAGGUUAAAACUCAAAUGAAUUGACGGGGGCCCGCACAAGCGGUGGAGCAUGUGGUUUAAUUCGAUGCAACGCGAAGAACCUUACCUACUCUUGACAUCCAGAGAACUUAGCAGAGAUGCUUUGGUGCCUUCGGGAACUCUGAGACAGGUGCUGCAUGGCUGUCGUCAGCUCGUGUUGUGAAAUGUUGGGUUAAGUCCCGCAACGAGCGCAACCCUUAUCCUUUGUUGCCAGCGGUUAGGCCGGGAACUCAAAGGAGACUGCCAGUGAUAAACUGGAGGAAGGUGGGGAUGACGUCAAGUCAUCAUGGCCCUUACGAGUAGGGCUACACACGUGCUACAAUGGCAUAUACAAAGAGAAGCGACCUCGCGAGAGCAAGCGGACCUCAUAAAGUAUGUCGUAGUCCGGAUUGGAGUCUGCAACUCGACUCCAUGAAGUCGGAAUCGCUAGUAAUCGUAGAUCAGAAUGCUACGGUGAAUACGUUCCCGGGCCUUGUACACACCGCCCGUCACACCAUGGGAGUGGGUUGCAAAAGAAGUAGGUAGCUUAACCUUCGGGAGGGCGCUUACCACUUUGUGAUUCAUGACUGGGGGAAGUCGAACAAG